UAAGGGCGCACGGUGGAUGCCUUGGCACUAGAAGCCGAUGAAGGACGUUACUAACGACGAUAUGCUUUGGGGAGCUGUAAGUAAGCUUUGAUCCAGAGAUUUCCGAAUGGGGAAACCCAGCAUGAGUUAUGUCAUGUUAUCGAUAUGUGAAUACAUAGCAUAUCAGAAGGCACACCCGGAGAACUGAAACAUCUUAGUACCCGGAGGAAGAGAAAGAAAAUUCGAUUCCCUUAGUAGCGGCGAGCGAAACGGGAAGAGCCCAAACCAACAAGCUUGCUUGUUGGGGUUGUAGGACACUCUAUACGGAGUUACAAAGGACGACAUUAGACGAAUCAUCUGGAAAGAUGAAUCAAAGAAGGUAAUAAUCCUGUAGUCGAAAAUGUUGUCUCUCUUGAGUGGAUCCUGAGUACGACGGAGCACGUGAAAUUCCGUCGGAAUCUGGGAGGACCAUCUCCUAAGGCUAAAUACUCUCUAGUGACCGAUAGUGAACCAGUACCGUGAGGGAAAGGUGAAAAGCACCCCGGAAGGGGAGUGAAAUAGAACCUGAAACCGUGUGUUUACAAGUAGUCAGAGCCCGUUAAUGGGUGAUGGCGUGCCUUUUGUAGAAUGAACCGGCGAGUUACGAUUUGAUGCAAGGUUAAGCAGUAAAUGUGGAGCCGUAGCGAAAGCGAGUCUGAAUAGGGCGUUUAGUAUUUGGUCGUAGACCCGAAACCAGGUGAUCUACCCUUGGUCAGGUUGAAGUUCAGGUAACACUGAAUGGAGGACCGAACCGACUUACGUUGAAAAGUGAGCGGAUGAACUGAGGGUAGCGGAGAAAUUCCAAUCGAACCUGGAGAUAGCUGGUUCUCUCCGAAAUAGCUUUAGGGCUAGCCUCAAGUGAUGAUUAUUGGAGGUAGAGCACUGUUUGGACGAGGGGCCCCUCUCGGGUUACCGAAUUCAGACAA
rnacentral:rRNA from 1 species